rnacentral:lncRNA from 1 species
UGGAGGCAGUGUUAUUUAUGCUUUCAGAUGUUUUUUUUGAAUUCACUGUGAAGUAUAAAAUACAAAUAAUCACAUUGCAUGCACACUUUUUUUAAGAGUAGACGCACACGAACACACUACACUCACACCACAACACAGCACAUAUGCGUGCACGUCCUACCACACGCGUGUGAUGGGAAAAAUCCCUAGGUAAGACGCAUGAGUUGCUAUUCCAGGGAUCGAACUCGCGUGGGCUGCUCAUGCGCUCGCGCGGCUAGCCACCGGAGCAACUCUCGGUUCUCAUUUUG